rnacentral:sRNA from 1 species
GCCAGGCAUGAUGACGCAUGCCUGUAAAUCCAGCUACCCAGGAGGCUGAGGUAGGAGAAUUGCAAGUGCAAGGCCAUCCUCAGCAACAUAGUGAGCCUCUGUUUAAA